GUGCUUAACCAUGCAAGUCGAACGGUGAAGAGGAGCUUGCUCCUUGGAUCAGUGGCGAACGGGUGAGUAACACGUGAGCAAUCUGCCCUUGACUCUGGGAUAACUGCGGGAAACUGUACCUAAUACCGGAUAUUACCUUGGAAGGCAUCUUCUGGGGUGGAAAGAAUUUUGGUCAAGGAUGAGCUCGCGGCCUAUCAGCUAUUUGGUGAGGUAAUGGCUCACCAAGGCGACAACGGGUAGCCGGCCUGAGAGGGUGACCGGCCACACUGGGACUGAAACACGGCCCAAACUCCUACGGGAGGCAGCAGUGGGGAAUAUUGCACAAUGGGCGCAAGCCUGAUGCACCAACGCCGCGUGAGGGACGACGGCCUUCGGGUUGUAAACCUCUUUUAGUAGGGAAAAAGCGACUGGGUUUUCCUGGAAGUGACGGUACCUGCAAAAAAAGCACCGGCUAACUACGUGCCAGCAGCCGCGGUAAUACGUAGGGUGCAAGCGUUGUCCGGAAUUAUUGGGCGUAAAGAGCUCGUAGGCGGUUUGUCGCGUCUGCUGUGAAAACCCGAGGCUCAACCUCGGGCCUGCAGUGGGUACGGGCAGACUAGAGUGCGGUAGGGGAGAUUGGAAUUCCUGGUGUAGCGGUGGAAUGCGCAGAUAUCAGGAGGA
rnacentral:rRNA from 1 species